rnacentral:misc_RNA from 1 species
UUUCCGUAGGUGAACCUGCGGAAGGAUCAUUACUGAGUGAGGGCCCCUCGGGGUCCAACCUCCCACCCGUGUUUAACGAACCUUGUUGCUUCGGCGGGCCCGCCUCACGGCCGCCGGGGGGCAUUUGCCCCCGGGCCCGCGCCCGCCGAAGCCACCUGUGAACGCUGUCUGAAGUAUGCAGUCUGAGACAAUUAUUAAAUUAAUUAAAACUUUCAACAACGGAUCUCUUGGUUCCGGCAUCGAUAGAACGCAGC